rnacentral:lncRNA from 1 species
AUUUUUUUUUAAUGCCACCUAAGCUGCUAUUUUUCUGUUGGGUGCAGCUACAAAGCCUAAUUCCAAGUAAAACAGCUGCCAGGAAGCCUUUAACCCUUGAAGUUUGCUUGCAAUACAGGAUUUAUUUAUUUCUCUUUCUUUCACACACCUCAACCUCGCCUCCCCAUCCAGUUCACCUGCAUAGUUACUAAACACUAGACCGGAGACAAAAUUUCUCCCUCAUUUCUGAUAACGUUCUGUUGUAUUUUUGCACUCUUCUUGAAAGAGACGGCCAUUUUGUUGAACAUUUUCUGCAAUUUUUUCCCUUGUGGUGGCCGCCAUUUCCGCCCUCAGUGCUCCAGAAGAAUGCUGGGAUGUUGUUGUGGGCAAUGCAGUGGCAGCUGCUAUUUGCUGCUGUAGCAGAACAGAAGAAGAAAAACCUUAAAAGACGGUUGUGUACCACGGCAACACAGAAGUACUGGAAAGGGUUACUUCCAGGUUUCGCUGCUCGCGCAUGGGCACAAGCGCCAAAUUGCACCGUGCACCUGCGCAGAUACAGUGCUUCAGGUUGCGGGCUUUUCGUGUUGCAAACGGGCCUCUGGAAUGGAUCCCAUUCGCAACCAGAGGAGACCUCUGAAUUCCACCCUCUUCCAGACUGCAAUCCCAGAUGCGCUACAAGACCCCCAGCGGGUAUCUCUGCUUCUGAAAUAUGGCACUCGGGAGACUCCGUAGCCCACAGUUCCUUCUCCUCAGCUUCACUCCAGUCAUCCUAUAACCUGACUCUCCUCAGACCUUGGCUACUGAUCUGGAAUACUAGUGACCAUGCUGCAGUGUUCAGAAUAUAUAUUUAUACACAGUGGGCUAGGAACUUCUCCAAGGGAAGAACGGAUCAAAAUAUUGCUCACUCCUGCACUGGGGCAGUUUAG